AAACAAGUGCUUGAAGGCAGUAUGCUUGGUAAAAGUCAUCGCCAUUCUCUAAUCUUGAGUACCCAGGGACACGAUACACUGCGGAAGGCUGCAGGGACCUCUGCCCAGGAAAGCCAGGCUUGCAUGAAGGAAAUGAUUUCCUAUGAUUCUGCUUACUGCUUAAAAAAAUUAAUCAAGUUUUCUGCCUGACAAGAUCCAGUAUCUGCCGGAGGAGCCCCACCUUCUGCUACUAUUAUGUUCUUCAGAUGAGUAGAAGAGAGUGGGGAGGGAGAGAGCAGGAAGAAGAAAGGAAGAAUAAUGUCUUGAAAUUGUUUUCUAAGGAUAAUGGUCUCCAGCUUCGUCAAUGUUCCUGCAAAGGACAUGAUGCUGACUUUGAAGAUGCAAGCUUCCACAUCUACAGCCUCAAGGAAACAAAUUCAGCCAACCAACUGAGGGAGCUUUCCUUGUCCUGCCUCAAGAUGAGAUCACAGUCUGCCCAACACCAUGAUUUAGGCCUUGUGACACCUGAGCUCAGAUGGAAAAGAAUGGUGUUACUGAGACCCUUCAAGAUUCCCAGUGUAAUUCAAUAAAGAAAAGGCAACACAAAGGGGUUGUAUAGAAUUCGCCACAUUAUGGACCCAUGUCAUAGAGAGAAUCCACGGUGCAUUUGUUAGCUGCAUUUAAAUGACAACACUUUCAGAUCCAAGAUUUAUUUGGGAUAAAAAUUUACCUGGAUGCAAGGCUAUUCAGAAUGAAGAUUAAUGAUAUGGUUUGGCUGUGUCCCCACCCAAACUUCAUCUUGAAUUCCCACGUGUUGUGAGAGGGACCUGGUGGGAGAUAAUUGAACCAUGGGGGCAGGUCUUUCUCAUGCUGUUCUCAUGAGAGUGAAUAAGUCUCAUGAAACCUGAUGGUUUUAUAAGGGGGAAUUUCCCUGCACAAGCUCUCUCUCUGCCUUUUGCCAUCCAUGUAAGACGUGACUUGGUCCUCCUUGCCUUCUACCAUGAUUAUGAGGCCUCCCCAGCCACGUGGAACUGUGAGUCCAUUAAACCUCUUUCUUUUGUAAA
rnacentral:lncRNA from 1 species